rnacentral:rRNA from 1 species
AGACAGCAGUCGCCACGGGAAUACGGAGGGUGCAAGCGUUAAUCGGAAUUACUGGGCGUAAAGCGCACGCAGGCGGUCUGACAAGUCAGAUGUGAAAUCCCCGGGCUUAACCUGGGAACUGCAUUUGAAACUGUCAGGCUGGAGUCUUGUAGAGGGGGGUGGAAUUCCAGGUGUAGCGGUGAAAUGCGUAGAGAUCUGGAGGAAUACCGGUGGCGAAGGCGGCCCCCUGGACAAAGACUGACGCUCAGGUGCGAAAGCGUGGGGAGCAAACAGGAUUAGAUACCCCUGUAGUCCCUGUCUCUUAUAC